rnacentral:rRNA from 1 species
AUUGAACGCUGGCGGCAGGCCUAACACAUGUAAGUCGAGCGGUAGCACAGAGAGCUUGCUCUCGGGUGACGAGCGGCGGACGGGUGAGUAAUGUCUGGGAAACUGCCUGAUGGAGGGGGAUAACUACUGGAAACGGUAGCUAAUACCGCAUAACGUCGCAAGACCAAAGUGGGGGACCUUCGGGCCUCAUGCCAUCAGAUGUGCCCAGAUGGGAUUAGCUAGUAGGUGGGGUAAUGGCUCACCUAGGCGACGAUCCCUAGCUGGUCUGAGAGGAUGACCAGCCACACUGGAACUGAGACACGGUCCAGACUCCUACGGGAGGCAGCAGUGGGGAAUAUUGCACAAUGGGCGCAAGCCUGAUGCAGCCAUGCCGCGUGUGUGAAGAAGGCCUUCGGGUUGUAAAGCACUUUCAGCGGGGAGGAAGGCGGUGAGGUUAAUAACCUCAUCGAUUGACGUUACCCGCAGAAGAAGCACCGGCUAACUCCGUGCCAGCAGCCGCGGUAAUACGGAGGGUGCAAGCGUUAAUCGGAAUUACUGGGCGUAAAGCGCACGCAGGCGGUCUGUCAAGUCGGAUGUGAAAUCCCCGGGCUCAACCUGGGAACUGCAUUCGAAACUGGCAGGCUAGAGUCUUGUAGAGGGGGGUAGAAUUCCAGGUGUAGCGGUGAAAUGCGUAGAGAUCUGGAGGAAUACCGGUGGCGAAGGCGGCCCCCUGGACAAAGACUGACGCUCAGGUGCGAAAGCGUGGGGAGCAAACAGGAUUAGAUACCCCGGUAGUCCACGCCGUAAACGAUGUCGAUUUGGAGGUUGUGCCCUUGAGGCGUGGCUUCCGGAGCUAACGCGUUAAAUCGACCGCCUGGGGAGUACGGCCGCAAGGUUAAAACUCAAAUGAAUUGACGGGGGCCCGCACAAGCGGUGGAGCAUGUGGUUUAAUUCGAUGCAACGCGAAGAACCUUACCUGGUCUUGACAUCCACAGAACUUUCCAGAGAUGGAUUGGUGCCUUCGGGAACUGUGAGACAGGUGCUGCAUGGCUGUCGUCAGCUCGUGUUGUGAAAUGUUGGGUUAAGUCCCGCAACGAGCGCAACCCUUAUCCUUUGUUGCCAGCGGUCCGGCCGGGAACUCAAAGGAGACUGCCAGUGAUAAACUGGAGGAAGGUGGGGAUGACGUCAAGUCAUCAUGGCCCUUACGACCAGGGCUACACACGUGCUACAAUGGCAUAUACAAAGAGAAGCGACCUCGCGAGAGCAAGCGGACCUCAUAAAGUAUGUCGUAGUCCGGAUUGGAGUCUGCAACUCGACUCCAUGAAGUCGGAAUCGCUAGUAAUCGUAGAUCAGAAUGCUACGGUGAAUACGUUCCCGGGCCU